CAAAAAAAAUCUAGGCAAAGCAUUCCUCCCUAGUAAUGGAGAGAAAAAGCCAUGUGGCUUAGGAAGCUACUAUGGAACAAUAGGUGGUCCAGUCCCAUUUUUCAGCGCACAGUCAAAACCUCGAGAAAAAUACAAGGCACCUGGAAAGAAUUUAUACACAAACCCGGGAAAGAAAGGAACUGGAUAUGGAAAGCGAAUGAAGAGCACCAUCGUUUACUUAAAGGAGCACCAUUUAAGUUAAAUCUUCACCCAAGGGACUAUUUUGACGCUAAUCCUUAUUUUUCUGAGGAAUCUUUACCACCAAUUAAAAAAGAAGAGAAG
rnacentral:lncRNA from 1 species